rnacentral:lncRNA from 1 species
GGAGCUCGACAGAGAGCUUGAGCUGUGCUACUUUAUGUCCCAGCUGCAGGUCUCUGAUGGGGUGGCCGCUGGAAGGGCGGGUUGUGGGCCAGGACCAGGGCUGUCUGUACCUGUUUGGUGCCAAGGGCACUGACUCGCUUGGGAUGGAGUAUCUGUCAGCCAAGACAAAAUGGUGGAAAAGCUGAAAUUUAUGUCUUUGGAAUCCGAGGCAUUAACCGUUGUAAAUCAGCCUUUGGUGCCCAAAGGUGGAAUUCUGGCCUUUCAGCUUCUGGGAUCCUGGUUUGUAGAAAGAAUCCAUGCAGGAUUUGGAUUCAGUGGGGCUGGUGGAAUAGUCUUAACUGCAUCGGUAGCUAAAGAACAAGCGGGGAGGCCUUGGGAAGGUCUCAGAACUUCUUCCCUGUUUGUCUGCCAAGGGCUCCAUAGUUUCUGCCUGAGACAGUGCUGGGAGGGUGCGUCCCGCUGAGCCCCUGGCGCAGAGCAGGGGUUCACAGCGUACUUUUUGAGUGAAUGAAUGUAAAAGAAAAGGUAUCUAUUGCUGUAGCACAAGAGCGGGGCAUCCACCCUCCUGGAUCCGUUGAAUUCUUUCCCUGCGAUUUCCUCAGCUGUAAGAAACCAAAGGCUUCAGCAAAGCUCAGCUCAGAGAAGCUGCUGUGAUGCCCGGAGGGUGCACAGCACGGCACCCAGCAGGCAAUUAGCUUCCCACACUUGUUUCCAGCUCCUAGCAGCUUCACCAGACUGACUGUCAGAGUGUUACCCCUUGCUUUUUUUGUUUGCUUUUGUGGUGGUAAAGUAUGCGUAAUAUAAAACUUAGCAUCUUGUCCACUUUUAAGUGUCCAGUUCAGUGAAAUUAAGUACACUUGCAUAACUGCGCAACCACCACCACCCUCUAUCUCCGCAUCUCUCGCAUCCUUCCUGUAACCAGGAAAUAAUAACCCUUCCUCUCCCUUCACCCAGCCCUUGGUUACCUCUCAUGUUUCCUGUGUCUACGAUUUGACUGUUCUGGGUAACUUCCGAGAUGUGGCAUCAUAAAAUACUUUUCCUUUUGGGCUUGUCUUAUUUCACUUGGGACAAUGACUUUAGGGUUCAUCUGUGCGUGGCAUGUGUCAGAGUCUCAUUUGUUUUUCUUUUCUUUUUUUCUUUUUAGGGCUGCAUGCACGGCAUAUGGAGGCUCCCAGGCUAGGGGGCCAAUUGGAGCUGCAGCUGCCAGCCUACACCACAGCCACAGCAAUGCCAGAUCCAAGCUGCACCUGCGACCUACACCACAGCUCACGGCAACCCACUAAAAUGCUUAACCCACUAAGUGAGACCAGGGAUCGAACCCACAUCCUCACCGAUACUAUGUCGGGUUCUUAACCCACUGAGCCACAACGGGAACUCCUCACUUGUUUUUAAGGCUGAACCAUAUGCCAUUGUUUGUAUGUACCACACUCUGUUUAUCCAUUCAUCUGUCCAUAGUCAUUUGUGUUAUUUCCACUUUUUGGCUGUUGUGAAUAAUAGCGCCGUGAACGUGAAUGUAUCGUAUCUGUUUGAGUCCCUGAUUUCAAUUCUUCUGGGUCUAAACCUAGGAGUAGAAUGACUGGAUUUAUAGUGAUUCUAUGUUUAAUUUUUUGAGAAAUCACCAUACCAACCCUUUCUUAGACCUUCCUGUGGAAAGGCAGUGCUUCAGGGGUGGUAUCUGAUGAGACCAGCCACCCCAUGCUGGGCUUUCCUAAAUUAAGGCUAGAGGUUGGGGGUGGACAGUGAAGACCCCGGAGUGGGCACAGGGGACCCUCUGGCAGUUCAGCACUGCCCUCCACCAGCUGGGCUCAGUUUUACACUAAGUCCUGGAAAGAGGAAGUGUUAGCUCUGUUCAUCACAGCUGGACAGAGAUUGUUUUGGUUCUUAUGAUGAAACAACAAUUAAAUUCCCACUCCAUGUACCUAUAUACAAACUCCAAAUUUGGUUCAGAAAGGGGACUUGAGACGUUUUAAGGCGUUAUGAUUAAACACAUGGGCUCUGGUGUCCGUUCAAAUUUUGGUUUACAGCAAUGACUUACUGUAUAGCACAGGGAACUCUAUUCAACAUCUUAUAAAAACUUACAAGGGAAAAGAAUCUGAAAAAGAAUAUGUAUAUAACUGAAUCACUUGGCUGUACAGCAGCCAUGAACACAACGUUGUAAAUCAACUCUGCUUCAAUAAAAUAAAACAAAAACUCAAA